GUUUUGCUUUGCAGCACAUUUACUAAAAUUGGAUUGAUCCAGAGAAGAUUAGGAUGGCACCUGUGCAAAGAUGACGUGUAAAGUAAUAAAACAGUCCGUGUUUUG